UACAGAGGUGGCAAGCGUUGUUCGGAAUUACUGGGCGUAAAGGGCGCGUAGGCGGUUCGUUAAGUCCUGUGUGAAAUCCCCCGGCUCAACUGGGGAACUGCACAGGAAACUAGCGGGCUUGAGUUCGGGAGAGGGAAGCGGAAUUCCGGGUGUAGCGGUGAAAUGCGUAGAUAUCCGGAGGAACACCGGUGGCGAAGGCGGCUUCCUGGACCGGUUCUGACGCUGAGGCGCGAAGCGUGGGGAGCAAACGGG
rnacentral:rRNA from 1 species